UUAAAUCUAGCAAGAUGGGUAUCUGGAAAUUAGAUAGCUGGAAUCAUUGAAAUAUUCCAGUUUCAUUAGAAAUUUGUGGAAAGUGUAUAGUUCUUUCAUUUGGAAAUGAACGUAUUGCUCUCAGAUUGCUUCUUUAAAGAUUGUUUGUAUGCUGUGGUGGAAUUUCCACCUGACCAUGAGAAACCACAAGCAAUAAUUGUAUUGAAGUCAUAGCUUUUGCCAGAAACAAGAAAUGUUGGUGGCCUUAUCAUUUGAAAAGCGAUAUUGCAAAUCAGAAAGUUUUAAUAUCACAGCAAGAGCCCGAUGCAGGUUUUACAAAAUAUAUAUACAGAGAUGCUCGAUUAAAACUCCAUAAAUCUGAAGUUCAAUCAGAUUUGGAAUCAAAUAAAGAGUCCCUCAUAUUCUCAAGAGGGCGCCGUAGUAAACGAAUUUUUCAAGAGGACAGUAAGGAAGAUGAUCGACCAUUAAAAAAAACAUCUGUUAAGGCACCUCCUGUUAUUUCAUUUCCUGAUAGUGCAGAUAGAGAAUUAAGGAAUGAAAUGUGCUCCAUGACCGAAAGUCAAGAAUGUAAUAGAAGCAAUCUUCGGUAGCUAAGAAAAGAGUAGAGGAGCCUUAAAGAAAAUAUCCAACCCGAAUGCAAUAAAGAAACACAAGUUAUUUAAAAAUAUCUCUGGGAUAGUUAAGAAACAAGUAGAUAAAGUAGAGCUUGCCUCUGCAUCGAGAUUGAAGCAAAAGGUAUCUCUUCAGAAAUGCAAUAUAAGCAUGAAAUUGAAUAAGUCUCUUAAACAGAUCUCAUGAAUCAGCUAAAACUUCUUUUGCCUCAAUGAAAUUUUGCUUCACCUUCAAUGAGAGAACUAUCGAGAAGAUACAGUAGAUAUUACUUCACCUACAAAGCAGAGUACAUCUCGAGUACGUGAAACUAAGGAAAAAUUUCCUUCAGUUACAUCUUCGAAGGAACGCAUUUGUAGUUGAAAAGCAAGAGCUCAUUUGACACCACCUUCUCCUUCAAAGCAGUGGAUUUCGGAUAAGAAUAGAGCGAACUCCGCUUCACCCUCAUCGAUUAAACGAAAUGUGGUAAAAAAUUUGAUUUAUGAGAGUAAUGAAAGACAUUCAACGUAAUCAAGGAAUAUUGGAGGAAAUAGUGCAGUGACUCAGGAAUAAAGGAAUAAUCGUAUCUCAUCCUAAACGAAUGCCACAAGUACAAUAUUGAGAAUAUCAGCAGAGAAAAUGGAGAAAUGUUUAGUUUUAUCCACAUCAUAAAUAGAAUACUUUGUAAAAAUAAAUUUGAAGCCCAUUUAGUGGUUUUCAUAGUAGAACAUAAGAUAUUCUCUUACAAUACAUUUUUAGGAUUGAAAAAAGUGUUAAAUAUUUACAGACUAAAAGACUUUUCACCGAAGGUGGAAUGUCAGUUUAGGAAUAUUGAUCGCAUUAUGAAAAAAUUGCUUACACGUGCAGUUGGCAGACUCUAUAAUUAUAGGGGAAGAAAACAAAAAGGGAAGGAACAAAAACUUGCUUUUUCUUCCACAAACAUGUGUGAAGUUGUCAAAGAUAUGAUUGCUUUACAAUUUUAGUUUAUUGAA